AGCAGCCGCGGUAAUUCCAGCUCCAAUAGCGUAUAUUAAAGUUGUUGCAGUUAAAAAGCUCGUAGUUGAGUUUCGAGACCGGUUUAUUGGUCGUGCUUUUGUACGUACUGGUAUUAUUGGUUUCUCCUUUCUGACGAAUCCUAAUGCCAUUAAUUUGGUGUUUUGGGGAAUCAGGACUGUUACUUUGAAAAAUUAGAGUGUUUAAAGCAGGCUCACGCUUGAAUACAUUAGCAUGGAAUAACGGAAUAGGACGUUUGAUUCUAUUUUGUUGGUUUCUAGGAUCGACGUAAUGAUUAAUAGGGAUAGUUGGGGGCAUUAGUAUUCAAUUGUCAGAGGUGAAAUUCUUGGAUUUAUUGAAGACUAACUACUGCGAAAGCAUUUGCCAAGGAUGUUUUCAUUAAUCAAGAACGAAGUUAGGGGAUCGAAGACGAUCAGAUACCGUCGUAGUCUUAACCAUAAACUAUGCCGACUAAGGAUCGGAUGAUGUUAAUUUUUAAUGACUCAUU
rnacentral:rRNA from 1 species